CAGUGGGGAAUAUUGCACAAUGGGCGAAAGCCUGAUGCAGCGACGCCGCGUGAGGGAUGACGGCCUUCGGGUUGUAAACCUCUUUCAGCAGGGAAGAAGCGAGAGUGACGGUACCUGCAGAAGAAGCGCCGGCUAACUACGUGCCAGCAGCCGCGGUAAUACGUAGGGCGCGAGCGUUGUCCGGAAUUAUUGGGCGUAAAGAGCUCGUAGGCGGCUUGUCGCGUCGGUUGUGAAAGCCCGGGGCUUAACCCCGGGUCUGCAGUCGAUACGGGCAGGCUAGAGUUCGGUAGGGGAGAUCGGAAUUCCUGGUGUAGCGGUGAAAUGCGCAGAUAUCAGGAGGAACACCGGUGGCGAAGGCGGAUCUCUGGGCCGAUACUGACGCUGAGGAGCGAAAGCGUGGGGAGCGAACAGGAUUAGAUACCCUGGUAGUCCACGCCGUAAACGGUGGGCACUAGGUGUGGGCGACAUUCCACGUCGUCCGUGCCGCAGCUAACGCAUUAAGUGCCCCGCCUGGGGAGUACGGCCGCAAGGCUAAAACUCAAAGGAAUUGACGGGGGCCCGCACAAGCGGCGGAGCAUGUGGCUUAAUUCGACGCAACGCGAAGAACCUUACCAAGGCUUGACAUACACCGGAAAGCAUCAGAGAUGGUGCCCCCCUUGUGGUCGGUGUACAGGUGGUGC
rnacentral:rRNA from 1 species